CAAACUUUAACUUACUAUAUAACAUUAAGUAAAUGAAUAAAUAAGCAAAUAAAUGAAAAAUAGCUAUUUGCUUAACCUCCACAAGUUACUAGUUAAACUAUCUAAUAUAGACCCAUAACAAUCAUAUAAAACUAUAGCUUAUGUAUUCAAUAAUCAUUAACUAAAUUCGGAGUUUUUCGAUACCAAAAUUAUAUAUUACACAUUAACUAAUCAAUGUCAUAAAUCAUCUAUAAUCUAUACAUGUCUUUCUUUCUCCAUACCAUACUAGAACCGAAUUUCUAAUCAAACUCAUAUAUGUAUACACUUAAUAGUUCCAAUCUAAAAC
rnacentral:lncRNA from 1 species